rnacentral:rRNA from 1 species
UGGGGAAUUUUGGACAAUGGGCGAAAGCCUGAUCCAGCAAUGCCGCGUGUGUGAAGAAGGCCUUCGGGUUGUAAAGCACUUUUGUCCGGAAAGAAAUCCUUGGCUCUAAUACAGUCGGGGGAUGACGGUACCGGAAGAAUAAGCACCGGCUAACUACGUGCCAGCAGCCGCGGUAAUACGUAGGGUGCAAGCGUUAAUCGGAAUUACUGGGGCGUAAAGCGUGCGCAGGCGGUUUGCUAAGACCGAUGUGAAAUCCCGGGCUCAACCUGGACUGCAUUGGUGACUGGCAGGCUAGAGUAUGGCAGAGGGGGGUAGAAUUCCACGUGUAGCAGUGAAAUGCGUAGAGAUGUGGAGGAAUACCGAUGGCGAAGGCAGCCCCCUGGGCCAAUACUGACGCUCAUGCACGAAAGCGUGGGGGAGCAAACAGGAUUAGAUACCCCUGGUAGUCCACGCCCUAAACGAUGUCAACUAGUUGUUGGGGAUUCAUUCCUUAGUAACGUAGCUAACGCGUGAAGUUGACCGCCUGGGGAGUACGGUCGCAAGAUUAAAACUCAAAGGAAUUGACGGGGUCAUAGCUGUUUCCU